rnacentral:rRNA from 1 species
GACGAACGCUGGCGGCGUGCUUAACACAUGCAAGUCGAACGGAAAGGCCCUGCUUGUGUGGGGUGCUCGAGUGGCGAACGGGUGAGUAACACGUGAGUAACCUGCCCUUGACUUUGGGAUAACUUCAGGAAACUGGGGCUAAUACCGGAUAGGAGCUCCUGCUGCGUGGUGGGGGUUGGAAAGUUUCGGCGGUUGGGGAUGGACUCGCGGCUUAUCAGCUUGUUGGUGGGGUAGUGGCUUACCAAGGCUUUGACGGGUAGCCGGCCUGAGAGGGUGACCGGCCACCUUGGGCCUGAGAUACGGCCCAGACUCCUACGGGGGGCAGCAGUGGGGAAUAUUGCACAAUGGGCGGAAGCCUGAUGCAGCAACGCCGCGUGCGGGAUGACGGCCUUCGGGUUGUAAACCGCUUUCGCCUGUGACGAAGCGUGAGUGACGGUAAUGGGUAAAGAAGCACCGGCUAACUACGUG